UACGUAGGGGGCUAGCGUUGUCCGGAAUCAUUGGGCGUAAAGGGCGUGUAGGCGGCCUGUUAAGUCGAACGUGAAAUCCCCGGGCUCAACCCGGGAACUGCGUCCGAAACUGGCAGGCUCGAAUUCGGGAGAGGGAUGCGGAAUUCCAGGUGUAGCGGUGAAAUGCGUAGAUAUCUGGAGGAACAUCGGUGGCGAAGGCGGCAUCCUGGACCGAUAUUGACGCUGAGGCGCGAAAGCCAGGGGAGCAAACAGG
rnacentral:rRNA from 1 species